rnacentral:lncRNA from 1 species
ACUAUUACCAAAUCAUGUUCCAAACUUAGAUCCAUAAGAUCAAAUCAAGUUCCAAAUUUGGAUCCAUUCUAUAUUUUAGGAUAUUUACUGGUUUCUGAUCCGGUCUAAUUGUUAUAUAAAUCUAGUUUAGAUUUUCUAAUCUAUUAUAUGAACCCGAUGUACCCGUUAGCCUAAGAUUUGUUGGGAGUGGGUGGUCUAGAUAGUUGAGUGGCAUUUUUGGGUGGGAAGUUUGACCUUUAUAUUGUAAAUUGAUACCAUGACUGAUUUGGCAUUUUAUUCAUGCUUUGUUUUAAUUUAUUGGAUAUAUUUGAAUAUAAUUAUUCAUAUGAUCCAGCAGGGAUGUUAAACUUUUGAAAUUCUUUUCAAUUGUUUUUUGAGUUGAAAAAGAUUAUCAGGCCAAAUGUGUCAUAAAGUGAUAUAUUCAAAGAUAUUUUCAUAUUUUAUGAUUGAGUA